rnacentral:rRNA from 1 species
UACGUAGGGGGCGAGCGUUGUCCGGAGUUACUGGGCGUAAAGGGCGUGUAGGCGGUUGAAAAAGUCGGGUGUGAAAUGCUUCAGCUCAACUGGAGCGCUGCGCUCGAAACUUUUCGACUGGAGUUCAGAAGGGGUAACUGGAAUUCCUGGUGUAACGGUGAAAUGUGUAGAUAUCAGGAGGAACAUCUGUGGCGAAGGCGGGUUACUGGUCUGAAACUGACGCUGAGACGCGAAAGCGUGGGGAGCAAACAGGAUUAGAUACCCUGGUAGUCCACGCUGUAAACGAUGAGUGCUAGGUGUAGGUGGUAUCGACUCCAUCUGUGCCGCAGCUAACGCAUUAAGCACUCCGCCUGGGGAGUACGGUCGCAAGAUUAAA